rnacentral:sRNA from 1 species
GAUACCAGGGUCAAAAGGUCACGCUUUUCAUGCUUGCAUGGAAAAGCAUGACUUUGGGACCCACAAAACAUGAGAAAGUAGCCAUUUUUCAUCGAAAAAUGAGCGGAUUUCGAAUGUUUUUAGGAUUUUGGAAGCGUGAAACGCGGAAAAAUCCGUAGGUAUC